rnacentral:tRNA from 1 species
AAGGCUUUAUGUUAAUUAAACAAAUAACCUUCAAAGUUAUAAAUAAAAGUUCAAAUCUUUUAAGCCUUA